UGCUUCUCGGCGUGGCAGCAACAGCGGUACCAGCUACAUCAGAGAUUGCGAGAGCAGCUCCCAGUUAAUAGCAUUGCGGCGAUGCUGAAAGGCGGCAUAUCGAUGUCUACGUAUUGAUUACCAGCGCAAAUAAAUUGUUUUGCGUAAGAGAGAUAGUGGAUACGGUAUUUAUGAAUUAUAUAAACGACGAAUCAAAUAAUUGUCCCAUUCGACGAGGAAUUGAAAAAAUCGCUUCGUAAACUUUGGCAAUAAUCGCAUGGUGGCGGUUGUUCGAAAUGAAAAAGGUGUUUUAGGUAUCGAUACGGUUUGCGUAGAAAUGGUGUACAAUAACACGAGCCGGUGACUAACAGCGCUGACUCUACCCCAGCAUUUUCGUCAGCGGGAAACACUGAUCCCUUAUUCUUGAUAACAAACAACGAAAGCAGCAUUGUGUAUAUUACGCAGACGGAUAUGAACGACCAUACGUAAUCCUGCUUUUAAGCAUGAAAGUGACGUGAAGCGCACGCACGCCAUUCAAAAGAAAACGUUUGGAAAAAUGUGUUUUACUUUUCCUAUUUGUAAGUUUAACAAGAUUCAGUGGGUUUAAUGUAUGUGGAGUGUAACUGUCCCAUUUCGUAUAUUAUGCUACAAAUGUACAUGGGUUAAUCCCCCGAGUAAAAAUAAGUUGAAAGUACGGGAAGAAUUUCUCUUGUACUGGAUGUUGUUUGCAAGUAAGUUAAUUUUGAAAAUCGCGAUAUAUGCGCUUGGUUAACAAUGGGAAGUUCGAUGUUGUUUUAUCGACCGAGAACUGGAAGCAAAUACGCGACAGUAAUUUUGCGAAUUCUUCACGUGGUAUGCCAUUGCGAAUCACGAUUUAGGUAGAUCCCAUGAUCCCGUGUGGGCUUAGAAAACUACCCUCGCCGAUUGUCGACGAUUUGCGGUAUUUACGUCGAUUAUCGUCUUCCUGCGAUUACAGUACAAAGACCUUGUCCCAACGAUAUCCGGACUCUCGCGGUUGUACUCUUCGAGGAGGCUGCGAUAUUAUGCUACUCAUGACGACUUUGUUGAUCGUAAUCAUAAUCUCUGACUAUCGAGAUGUGUCUAAUGAAGGAUUGAACGCUGCUCGCCAAUGACCAAGAAGCUGCUUCCCAUUGAACGAACGUGAUUCUCGAGACGGUGGUUCUGGAUUUAAUCGUUCUUUCAAGUACGCCACUGAUUUAUACAUAUGCUCACGCAUGGCGAAUGAAAUUCUCGACGUGAUUAUUAUUGCUUCGGAACAUGGCUCGAUUUGAUAUGGCAUGGUAUUAUGGUCGAUUAUGGUGCCUGAUCGUAGACGAAACACGAUAUCUUACGAAGGUUUACGAAAGAGACUGCUUAGUGCCUGUAGACGAUACUUGACCUAAAUAAAACGCUACUUCGACGUGA